UACGUAGGGUGCAAGCGUUGUCCGGAAUUAUUGGGCGUAAAGAGCUCGUAGGCGGUUUGUCGCGUCUGCUGUGAAAACGCGAGGCUCAACCUCGCGCCUGCAGUGGGUACGGGCAGACUAGAGUGCGGUAGGGGAGAUUGGAAUUCCUGGUGUAGCGGUGGAAUGCGCAGAUAUCAGGAGGAACACCGAUGGCGAAGGCAGAUCUCUGGGCCACUACUGACGCUGAGAAGCGAAAGCAUGGGGAGCGAACAGG
rnacentral:rRNA from 1 species